AUGUUAACGAAUGUUCCACUCUUUCGGGAAUAUUUAAAAACGUCGCAUUUUUAAUCUCAGAGAAAGCCCUUUUCUCAGCCUUAAUACUCUUUUCUGAUGAUUCUCCAUUUCUUGAAGGUAGUCUAGGAGCCGGUGCAAAUAACAUAAACAGCAAUAGCAAUGUCACUACCGGCGUUGAAGGAACCCACCGACGACGGUCCAUAGAUCAUUGAAUUUGAGGAAAGAGAUAAUUUACUAUCUCAAUGUUUAAUCCUAUUCACUUAUACAAAUGAGAGAUGUCUUUUUACUCAAUGAUCACAGUGUUUAAGGUUCUUGGUGAAUUGAAUUUGCCCUAGUUGGUUAUUGAGUCUCGCUUUUGUAUAGGGAUCUACAAACUUAAGAGCUUAAAUUAUUUAACGAAUUUAAAAGCCCACCUCAGCGUAAAUUUGCCAACAGUGCUUCAAAGAACUGUGGUAAAUUGCGUUAUCUAUCGUUAUAGCCAGACACUCCAUGGGAAUGUACCUAAUAAUGCAG